UACGAAGGGGGCAAGCGUUGUCCGGAAUCAUUGGGCGUAAAGCGCGCGUAGGCGGCCAGAUAAGUCCGGUGUGAAAGUCAAAGGCUCAACCUUUGAAUGCCGCUGGAAACUGUCUGGCUAGAGUCCGGAAGGGGCGAGUGGAACUCCUGGUGUAGCGGUGAAAUGCGCAGAUAUCAGGAAGAACACCAAUGGCGAAGGCAGCUCGCUAGGACGGUACUGACGCUGAGGCGCGAAAGCGUGGGGAGCAAACAGG
rnacentral:rRNA from 1 species